AGAAAAGGGAAGAAAAAAGAAGAAGAUGGGCAAGUUGUACAAGUAGCAUCAGCAGCCCAGACUACUAAAACUGAGGAAAGAGAAGAAAGCGUUGACAUUUCUAAUAAAGUUUAUGUCGGAGGUAUUCCUUAUUAUUCCACUAAGGAUGAUAUUAGGAGCUACUUUGAAGGUUGUGGCACCAUUAUGGAGGUUGAUUGUAUGAAUUUCCCUGACAGCGGAAAGUUUAGAGGAAUUGCCAUUAUCACUUUUAAGACUGAAGCAGCCGCUAAGAGAGCCAUGGCACUGGAUGGUUCUGAUAUGGGUGGACUAUUCCUGAAAAUCCAGUCAUACAAGUCCGCUAAAGCUAACAAAGUGUCCAACUUCUCACCAAACAUGGUCGAAGGGUAUAAUAGGGUAUACGUGGGUAACUUAUCAUGGAAUGUAACAGAGGAUGACUUGAAGAAAGUUUUUUCAGAUUGCAGCAUAAGUUCUAUCCGAUUCGGUGAAGAUAAAGAAACAGGAGAAUUUCGAGGUUAUGCCCAUGUGG
rnacentral:misc_RNA from 1 species